UGCAGGUAUGCGCGGGACCAACUUCAGGUUGCUCGCAAGAACGGCAGCCCCAAGAGGGUGGGAUCCUGAAGCCCGGGACCUGCUUUUUU
rnacentral:ncRNA from 1 species